UACGUAGGGGGCAAGCGUUGUCCGGAAUCAUUGGGCGUAAAGAGCGUGUAGGCGGCUCGGUAAGUCCGCUGUAAAAGUCAAAGGCUCAACCUUUGAAUGUCAGUGGAUACUGCCGGGCUAGAGUCCGGAAGAGGCGAGUGGAACUCCUGGUGUAGCGGUGGAAUGCGCAGAUAUCAGGAAGAACACCAACGGCGAAGGCAGCUCGCUGGGACGGUACUGACGCUGAGACGCGAAAGCGUGGGGAGCGAACAGG
rnacentral:rRNA from 1 species